rnacentral:rRNA from 1 species
GUGUCAGCCGCCGCGGUAAUACGUAGGGUGCAAGCGUUACUCGGAAUUACUGGGCGUAAAGCGUGCGUAGGUGGUUGUUUAAGUCUGUUGUGAAAGCCCUGGGCUCAACCUGGUAAUUGCAGUGGAUACUGGGCGACUAGAGUGUGGUAGGGGGUAGUGGAAUUCCCGGUGUAGCAGUGAAAUGCGUAGAGAUCGUGAGGAACAUCCAUGGCGAAGGCAGCUACCUGGACCAACACUGACACUUAGGCACGAAAGCGUGGGGAGCAAACAGGAUUAGAUACCCGCGUAGUCC